GAGGCUAAAAGCGCAGGUCAGCGCCAUCGUCGGUCGACGAUGACCGCAGCACUGAUAAUGCUGAGGUCGAUGGUUCGAUUCCAUCUAGCCCCA
rnacentral:tRNA from 1 species